CAGAAUCCAUAUUUUGCUAAUCCAUAUUUUGCGGACUGCAAAAAAAAAAAUAUACAUACAGUCGUAUGCAUCAGGUCUUAAUCUGAAACUUUUAACUUUUGUCUUCCACUUUUUCUCCGUCCAUAAAGCUCCUUUUUUUGGUGAUUUGAUAUUGAGGUAGUUAGUUUGUCACUUUUCAAUAUAUAGUAUCAUGGCGAGGCUGUAUUUUGCUUUAUAGAAUAUCCAUGACUGGGAUGCAAGGGAACAUGCUGAGCUCUGCUCUAAGAUAAAUUGGCUGUGAAUGGGAAAUUACAGAUACUGUUAUAUUGACCAUACACGUUACAUACGCUGCCAAGGCCAGAAGUGAGAAAAUGAAUGAGGACAACAGAAAAUGAAUACAUCUGAAAAAUGAUUUAUGUUUGCUAUUAAAUACUUCCAUAGGUGUGCAUUACUGACCAUCACCCAUACAACUAAAUUUAAAGCUGAUGAGUGUGUGCAGCAUUUCUUAGGCUCUUUUCACACCAGUUCUGAUUCAGAUGUAUACAUCAGGACUAUUACCCAACGUAUACAUCUGAAUUGGCCAGAUAUUUUAUUAUGGUAGAACCUGUUCUAAUCUUCCUUGUCUAUUAUGCUUCCUUUAAAAUAAAUUAUUUCUAUUUGCUAUAAUGGAGUUGUCUUUCUGAUAUCUUUCAGAUGCUAUUUACAUAAUAAAAUCAUUGUGACUGAACAAAUUCUUAAGCAUGACAGGCAGACAAGAUAGAUUUCAGUCAGUUCACUUGGCCAUUUACACAAACCAGUUUCGAUUUAUAUUGGUCAGAGCAGAGAAAAAAAAUCUGAUACCUGCACAUGUAAAGGCCUUCUAAAACUCGCCAUAUGCAUUAGGCCUCAUGCACACGACUGUUCCGUUUUUUGCUGUCCGCAAACGGUGGAUCCUCA